rnacentral:rRNA from 1 species
CCUACGGGUGGCAGCAGUGGGGGAUAUUGCACAAUGGGGGGAACCCUGAUGCAGCGACGCCGCGUGGGUGAAGGAGUGCUUCGGCAUGUAAAGCCCUAUCGGCAGGGAGGAAGCAAGACGGUACCUGACUAGGAAGCCCCGGCUAACUCCGUGCCAGGAGCCGCGGGACUCCGGAGGGGGCGAGCGGUUUCCGGAUUCACUGGGUGGAAAGGGAGCGUAGACGGCCAUGCAAGCCAGGGGGGAAAGCCCGGGGCCCACCCCCGGGACUGCCGUUGGAACGGCAUGGUGGGAGUGCGGGAGGGGCAGGCGGAAUUCCUGGUGUAGCGGUGAAAUGCGUAGAUAGCAGGAGGAACACCGGCGGCGAAGGCGGCCUGCUGGACCGCGACUGACGUUGAGGCUCGAAAGCGUGGGGAGCGAACAGGAUUAGAUACCCCUGUAGUC